CAGGGUGACAGCCCCGUACACAAAAAUGCACAUGCUGUGAGCUCGAUGAGUAGGGCGGGACACGUGGUAUCCUGUCUGAAUAUGGGGGGACCAUCCUCCAAGGCUAAAUACUCCUGACUGACCGAUAGUGAACCAGUACCGUGAGGGAAAGGCGAAAAGAACCCCGGCGAGGGGAGUGAAAAAGAACCUGAAACCGUGUACGUACAAGCAGUGGGAGCACGCUUAGGCGUGUGACUGCGUACCUUUUGUAUAAUGGGUCAGCGACUUAUAUUCUGUAGCAAGGUUAACCGAAUAGGGGAGCCGAAGGGAAACCGAGUCUUAACUGGGCGUUAAGUUGCAGGGUAUAGACCCGAAACCCGGUGAUCUAGCCAUGGGCAGGUUGAAGGUUGGGUAACACUAACUGGAGGACCGAACCGACUAAUGUUGAAAAAUUAGCGGAUGACUUGUGGCUGGGGGUGAAAGGCCAAUCAAACCGGGAGAUAGCUGGUUCUCCCCGAAAGCUAUUUAGGUAGCGCCUCGUGAAUUCAUCUCCGGGGGUAGAGCACUGUUUCGGCAAGGGGGUCAUCCCGACUUACCAACCCGAUGCAAACUGCGAAUACCGGAGAAUGUUAUCACGGGAGACACACGGCGGGUGCUAACGUCCGUCGUGAAGAGGGAAACAACCCAGACCGCCAGCUAAGGUCCCAAAGUCAUGGUUAAGUGGGAAACGAUGUGGGAAGGCCCAGACAGCCAGGAUGUUGGCUUAGAAGCAGCCAUCAUUUAAAGAAAGCGUAAUAGCUCACUGGUCGAGUCGGCCUGCGCGGAAGAUGUAACGGGGCUAAACCAUGCACCGAAGCUGCGGCAGCGACGCUGAUGCGUUGUUGGGUAGGGGAGCGUUCUGUAAGCCUGCGAAGGUGUGCUGUGAGGCAUGCUGGAGGUAUCAGAAGUGCGAAUGCUGACAUAAGUAACGAUAAAGCGGGUGAAAAGCCCGCUCGCCGGAAGACCAAGGGUUCCUGUCCAACGUUAAUCGGGGCAGGGUGAGUCGACCCCUAAGGCGAGGCCGAAAGGCGUAGUCGAUGGGAAACAGGUUAAUAUUCCUGUACUUGGUGUUACUGCGAAGGGGGGACGGAGAAGGCUAUGUUGGCCGGGCGACGGUUGUCCCGGUUUAAGCGUGUAGGCUGGUUUUCCAGGCAAAUCCGGAAAAUCAAGGCUGAGGCGUGAUGACGAGGCACUACGGUGCUGAAGCAACAAAUGCCCUGCUUCCAGGAAAAGCCUCUAAGCAUCAGGUAACAUCAAAUCGUACCCCAAACCGACACAGGUGGUCAGGUAGAGAAUACCAAGGCGCUUGAGAGAACUCGGGUGAAGGAACUAGGCAAAAUGGUGCCGUAACUUCGGGAGAAGGCACGC
rnacentral:rRNA from 1 species